rnacentral:tRNA from 1 species
GACCUGAGUGAUGCUAAAUUGCAAGUUUAGUUUAGGAAAUGUAAGUUUUCGUAGGUCUA